rnacentral:rRNA from 1 species
GACGAACGCUGGCGGCGUGCUUAACACAUGCAAGUCGAACGGAAAGGCCCUGCUUUUGUGGGGUGCUCGAGUGGCGAACGGGUGAGUAACACGUGAGUAACCUGCCCUUGACUUUGGGAUAACUUCAGGAAACUGGGGCUAAUACCGGAGAGGAGCUCCUGCUGCAUGGUGGGGGUUGGAAAGUUUAGGCGGUAGGGGAUGGACUCUCGGCUUAUCAGCUUGUUGGUGGGGGAGUGGCUUACCAAGGCAUUGACGGGUAGCCGGCAUGAGAGGGUGACCGGCCACAUUGGGACUGAGAUACGGCCCAGUCUCCUACGUGAGGCAGCAGUGGGGAAUAUUGCACAGUGGGCGGAAGCCUGUUGCAGCAACGCCGCGUGCGGGAUGACGGUCUUCGGGUUGUAAACCGCUUUCGCCUGUGACGAAGCGUGAGUGACGGUAAUGGGUAAAGAAGCACCGGCUAACUACGUG